AUGUCAUUUUGAGAGUGGUUUCUUAGUAACCCUUUAUAAUGCUCCCAUGCCUCAUAAAGUGACUCACCCACUUAUUGAUCAAAGUUGGAUAUUGCCUUCUUGAGUUU